rnacentral:rRNA from 1 species
GCGAAAUUCCUUGUCGGGUAAGUUCCGACCUGCACGAAUGGUGCAACGAUCUGGACACUGUCUCGGGCAUGAGCUCGGUGAAAUUGUAGUAACGGUGAAGAUGCCGUUUACCCGCAGUGGGACGAAAAGACCCCGUGCACCUUUACUAUAGCUUCGUAUUGACCCUGGAUAAGUAAUGUGUAGGAUAGCUAGGAGACUUUGAAGCGGCGUCGCCAGGCGUUGUGGAGUCAUUGUUGAAAUACUAGCCUUUGCUUAUUUGGGGCCUAACUCUCUUAAGAGAGAACAGUGCGUGGUGGGUAGUUUGACUGGGGUGGUCGCCUCCAAAAGAGUAACGGAGGCUUCUAAAGGUGCCCUCAAUACGGUUGGUAAUCGUGUGUAGAGUGCAAUGGCACAAGGGCGCUUGACUGAGAGACCUACAAGUCGAUCAGGUACGAAAGUAGAGCAUAGUGAUCCGGUGGUUCCGCAUGGAAGGGCCAUCGCUCAAAGGAUAAAAGGUACGCCGGGGAUAACAGGCUGAUCUCCCCCAAGAGUUCACAUCGACGGGGAGGUUUGGCACCUCGAUGUCGGCUCAUCGCAACCUGGGGCUGAAGUCGGUCCCAAGGGUUGGGCUGUUCGCCCAUUAAAGCGGUACGCGAGCUGGGUUCAGAACGUCGUGAGACAGUUCGGUCCAUAUCCGGUGUAUGCGUAGGAAUAUUGAGAGGAUUUCUCCCUAGUACGAGAGGACCGGGAGGAACACACCUCUGGUGUACCAGUUAUCGUGCCAACGGUAAACGCUGGGUAGCCAUGUGUGGAGUGGAUAACCGCUGAAAGCAUCUAAGUGGGAAGCCCACCUCAAGAUGAGUAUUCCCAUGGGGUAACCCAGUAAGGUCACGGGAAGAACACCCGUUGAUAGGCUCUACGUCGAAGUUCAGUAAUGGAUGCAGCGGAGGAGUACUAAUAGACCGAGGGCUUGAC